rnacentral:rRNA from 1 species
CCCAGACUCCUACGGGAGGCAGCAGUGGGGAAUAUUGGGCAAUGGGCGCAAGCCUGACCCAGCAACGCCGCGUGAAGGAAGAAGGCUUUCGGGUUGUAAACUUCUUUUCUCAGGGACGAAGCAAGUGACGGUACCUGAGGAAUAAGCCACGGCUAACUACGUGCCAGCAGCCGCGGUAAUACGUAGGUGGCAAGCGUUAUCCGGAUUUACUGGGUGUAAAGGGCGUGUAGGCGGGGACGCAAGUCAGAUGUGAAAACCAUGGGCUCAACCUGUGGCCUGCAUUUGAAACUGUGUUUCUUGAGUACUGGAGAGGCAGACGGAAUUCCUAGUGUAGCGGUGAAAUGCGUAGAUAUUAGGAGGAACACCAGUGGCGAAGGCGGCCUGCUGGGCUUUAACUGACGCUGAGGCUCGAAAGCGUGGGGAGCAAACAGGAUUAGAUACCCCAGUAUGC